CAGGCCUAACACAUACAAGUCGAGCGGGGANCAAUCCUAGCGGCGGACGGGUUAGUAACGCGUGGGAACNUACCCUUUGGUACGGAAUAGCCUCGGGAAACUGAGAGUAAUACCGUAUGUGCCCUUCGGGGGGAAANAUUUAUCGCCAAAGGAUUGGCCCGNGUCCGAUUAGCUAGUUGGUGAGGUAACGGCUCACCAAGGCUACGAUCGGUAGCUGGUCUGAGAGGAUGAUCAGCCACAUUGGGACUGAGACACGGCCCAAACUCCUACGGGAGGCAGCAGUGGGGAAUAUUGGACAAUGGGCGCAAGCCUGAUCCAGCCAUGCCGCGUGAGUGAUGAAGGCCUUAGGGUUGUAAAGCCCUUUUGUCCGGGAAGAUAAUGACUGUACCGGAAGAAUAAGCCCGGCUAACUUCGUG
rnacentral:rRNA from 1 species